rnacentral:rRNA from 1 species
GACGAACGCUGGCGGUAUGCCUAACACAUGCAAGUCGAACGAGAAAGUUUCUUCGGAAAUGAUUAAAGUGGCGAACGGGUGAGUAACGCGUAGGUUACAUGCCCCUUAGUUCGGGAUAAGCAUUGGAAACGAUGUCUAAUACCGGAUGUGAUCUUCGGAUUAAAGGCUUCGGCCGCUAAGGGAUUGGCUUGCGUCGUAUUAGCUUGUUGGUGAGGUAAUGGCUCACCAAGGCAACGAUACGUAGCGGAUCUGAGAGGGUGAUCCGCCACACUGGGACUGAGAUACGGCCCAG